AUGAAAAAUUACACACAUCUUUGACCAGAAAUAAAUGAAAAAUCACACACGUCUUUGACUACAGAUAAAUGAAAAUUCACACACGUCUUUGACUAGAGAUAAAUGAAAAUUUACACACGUCUUUAAUUAGAGAUAAAUGAAAAAUCACACACGUCUUUGACUAGAGAUAAAUAUAAACUUACACGCGUCAAACAGGAUCACCAACCACGACAAAAUGACUUCUUUCUAUGAUUUAAAUCUUUUCAAAACUAAAUUACAAUAGGAAACAGAAACAAGAUUAUUAUGAUUUCUUUCCCAAAGAAAUUAACUCUAAUAAUUCAAAAUAAAUCUUACCAAAGUAGAAUUUCCUGAAUACAAAAUAGAGAUUUUAGUGGAGAAAACCCUUUUAAGUAUCGGCAGAUCAAUUUUAAACCCUUCAAAUAAAUUAUAUAUAUUAAAGUUGGCCAAUUCUCUCCCACAACUUGACACAUCAGCACAUGAGAGCUUGCCACCUAUACUUCAUAAAAUAAAUAAUACAUAAUUAGUAAUUAAUUCAACAUAAUAACUAAAAUAGGAAGAUAUAAUUAAUCAGAACUUGAACCAUCACUCUUUCUACAUUUUUUUAAUUCAAUAUAUCCUCUUUAAUUUUGAGAUCCAAAUAUGUUACACAUAUUCCUUGCCUAAAAAUUAGACGAUUAUUAUGAAAGAAACUAAAUGAAUAUGCAGAUUAAAUAUAUUUAAACUUUUCGAGAUUUAUGCUAAGAAAACAAGUAAUUUGAAAGAUGGUUGAUGAGCUAUCCUUAUAACUAAUACGUAAGAUAUAAGAUUAUGACAAGAACUUAACCAAACUUUACAAUAACAUCAAGUUGAAUAUGAUUAGAUUGGAUAUGCAGAGACAUGAUUAAUAAAGACAUGUUAUAUUUUUAAUGUAAAAAACAAAUUUUCUAAAAUUUCACCGUCUCACAAACUAAAUAUAUAACCAAAAGAACAAAGAUAUAUAAAUUAAAAAAAAAACUGAGAAUCUAAAACAACAAUAAAAAACAACUCAAGCACUUUCGUUUUCAGAUGAACUAAUAUAGUUGGACUUUUUGAAAACAAUUACAAAUCAUAUUUAUGUUUCAAAAUCGAUGCAUUCAACUUUACUUUAUAUGAACAGACAUUAUAUAAAACAAUUUGUAAAUAGUAAUACAUAAACCCGCACGUAGUGCGGGUAUUCAUCUAGUUAUUAAUGAAACAAACUACCCCUCAAGUAAGGAAUCUUAACAACAACAUCCCCAACUAAAUAAUCAAUGAAAACACCCUCAAAUAAU
rnacentral:sRNA from 1 species